UACGAAGGGGGCUAGCGUUGUUCGGAAUUACUGGGCGUAAAGGGCGCGUAGGCGGUACUUCAAGUCAGGCGUGAAAGCCCCGGGCUCAACCUGGGAACCGCGCUUGAGACUGGAGAACUAGAGUUCGGGAGAGGAUGGUGGAAUUCCCAGUGUAGAGGUGAAAUUCGUAGAUAUUGGGAAGAACACCGAUGGCGAAGGCAGCCAUCUGGACCGACGACUGACGCUGAGGCGCGAAAGCGUGGGAGCAAACAGGAUUGAGAUACCCGUUGUAGA
rnacentral:rRNA from 1 species